rnacentral:rRNA from 1 species
UGAGGAAUAUUGCGCAAUGGGGGAAACCCUGACGCAGCGACGUCGCGUGGGUGAGGAAGUCCUUCGGGAUGUAAAGCCCUUUUGUUGGGGACGAGAGUGGACGGUACCCAACGAAUAAGCCCCGGCUAACUACGUGCCAGCAGCCGCGGUAAUACGUAGGGGGCAAGCGUUAUCCGGAUUUACUGGGCGUAAAGCGCGCGUAGGCGGAAGUUUAAGUCUGGCCUGAAAGCCCCCGGCUCAACCGGGGAGAGUGGCUGGAAACUGGGCUUCUGGAGGGCGUUAGAGGAGAGUGGAAUUCCUGGUGUAGCGGUGAAAUGCGUAGAUAUCAGGAGGAACACCGAUGGCGAAGGCAGCUCUCUGGGGCGGCCCUGACGCUGAGGCGCGAAAGCGUGGGGAGCGAACGGG